UACGGAGGAUGCGAGCGUUAUCCGGAUUUGUUGGGUUUAAAGGGUGCGCAGGCGGAGGUGCAAGUCAGUGGUCAAAUUGCGGGGCUCAACCCCGUACUACCGUUGAAACUGCAUCCCUUGAGUGCGCGAGAAGUAUGCGGAAUGCGUGGUGUAGCGGUGAAAUGCAUAGAUAUCACGCAGAACUCCGAUUGCGAAGGCAGCAUACCGGCGCGCAACUGACGCUGAGGCUCGAAAGCGUGGGGAGCAAACAGG
rnacentral:rRNA from 1 species